rnacentral:lncRNA from 1 species
UGCUAUACUCUACCUUUUGUCAUUAUUUGAGUGUAGGUUCCUUCUACUUUAAAAAAAAAUUUACUAUAAAUAAGUAUGUUGUAUUUUGCUUGCAGUUAAAAAAAAAAAAAAAAACAAGAGCCUGACCAGGUGCAGUGGCACACACCUGUAAUCCCAGCAACCUGGAUUACAGACUGAGGCAGGAGGAUCGCAAGUUUGAGGCCAGCCUGAGCAACUUGGUAAGGCCCUGUCUCAAAAAUAAACAAAUAAACAAACAAACAAACAAACAAAUAAAAGGCCUGGGGGGUGUAGCUCAGUAGUAGAGCGAGGCCCUGGGUUCAAUCCCCAGUACUAAAUGAGAAAAAAAAAUCAACAGCCAACACCAUAGAGACAUUUAAAAAAAAAUUUUAUAUUUAUUUUUUAGUUGUAAUUGGACACAAUAUCUUUAUUUCACUUAUUUAUUUUUAUGUGGUGCUGAGGAUCGAACCCAGGAUCUCGCAUGUGAGAGGCGAGUACUCUAUGGCUGAGCCACAACCCCAGUCCCAGAGACAUUUUUAAAAUGGUUCUAGGUAAGUAAUGUUAGAAACCAAAUGAGGGCUACAGUCUAAUAGGAUAUAUAUAAACUAAGAAUGUAGACAUAAAAUAGUACUCCUACCUACCUCAUGAAACUACAUACCUACUCUAGAGAGAUACCUUUCCUAUUGAUGCGAUUGACUCUGGGGGGGAAGGGGGUCAGUGCUGGGAAUGGAGAAGGAAAGAAGAGAGAGAAGAAGAAAAAAGGGAAGGACGGGAAGGAAGAGGUCGAGGGAAGGAUUUAGCAAUGAUGAGAGCAAGACCGUGUCUUGAGGAGUCUGAGUAACUCUGCCCUCUGGACCUGAAGUUCUAGAACAAAAAUAAAAUAAAAGGAAGCAAACCCCAGUCUAACUCUUUCAUUUUACAGAUGGACACACAGAGGCUCAGAAAGUUGAGUGGUCUGGCUCUGGGGUUCUACUGCUGCUCAGUGGCAGAGGCCAGGCAUCUUGACUCCAAGUUCACUGCUCUUUCUACUGAAUCUAACUGCUGUGCAUGUACGUAUGAUACCUCGAUUCUUCCGUCCUAAUGGGUAAUUCGUCUAAGUAUACUUUUAACUAAAGAGGUUGAUCAUUGCUGGCCCAACUCAUACCCUGGCCUCGGGGAGGCUCCCCACCUCUGCUUAAGGUCAGGGGUCUUGCAGGACGCCAGGUCCCCCAGCUCGCCUCUUCUUGAGUGACUGGUUGGAAUUGACAUUUGAUGAGGGGCAGCCCUUCCUUACCCAGAGUAUGUCUGGGUAUGAGGUGGUUCCCGGGAUGCGAGACUUUCAGCUUAAAACCAGAAAAGUACUGCGUCAAUGGGACAAAUUGGUCACCCUAGCAGGAAAUGAUUUAGAGCCUAUAUUGCUGGGUUCAAAAAUAAAGCAUGGACAAUCAGGUUCUCAUUUAGAAACAGGGAAACGAAUGGAGAGAAGCUGUUGGCUGGAGUAGACAUGCCAUGGUGUGAAAUGAAAGCAAGGAUUGUUAGGAACGGCUGUGCGGGCCCCUAGCUAAACAAACCUAAAGAAAAGAUACUCUGAGUAAGUAGUAAACACUGGUGACCAAGAGAACAGCAGAGCCCCACCCCUAAGAGACUGACCAUGCAGUUGACGAGAUAAAAUGCUCACGUCCAUCUGUGAAUGGCCUCAGAUUCCUCUGUGGUCAAUGCGUCACACCACUCAAGAGCCUAUGAGCUCCAGAAAACGUGGAGUGGGAAUCUGUACGUGUAACUCCUGGGUUUUCCAACUUAGCUUCUAAGUGUGCUGGAUUUGGUGGUUUCUUUUUGAUUUGGAAAUGAGAUGCCUUGGUCUGGAGAGCAUCAGCUUUAUUCCAGAGAGAGGAGUCUGCUGGCGUGACCUUCUCCUUGGCAAUGAAAGCAGAAGCAACAGCAACAGCAGACAGAAGCAUCUGGAAAGACUGUCUGCGAGGAUCUGAAAUUGGCCAUGGUGGUUUUUAAGAGAGAAGCUACUGAAAGCCAGUUUUCCUAAAAUGUAGUCACACUGGUGAGCCUCAUCUGGGCACAAAGAACAGAAAGCCCGUGGGGGCAGUGCCAUAGAACAUUGCCAAGGAGAGAGUCAGGGCAGAAGUCUCUUCUCUGGAAUAAAGCUGGUUGCUCACCAGACCAAUGCAUCUUAUUUUUCAAAUUAAAAAAAAAGUGAUCAUAAUCCAGAACAUGCAGGAAUUUAAGUUGGGAAACCCAAGAGUUACCCUUGCUGAUUCCCACUUCAAGUUUUCUAGAGCUUUUAAGGAUCUCAGUUGGCCAAAGCUGAUGUAGCAGGUUGUUUUUUCCAAAGGUAACUGUGACAACAUGUGCCAUUUCACUUUCUCCUCUUUCACUGUGACUUUGAUACUUCCCUCACCAGAACCAGGGGUGGACGUCCCCUGCCCUUAAAACUGGUGGACUGUCUCAGAGUGUGGCGACUGUCACAGCUCAGGUAUAAACCACAGUUUCCGCUCUGUGCACUGAACAUUCACCAUGGAACACACUGGCCAUCGUGUGAGCUGUCUGUCUGACCCUGGGUGGCCACAGCUGUUUUGUCACCACAAGGUCUGUGACCUUAACUGCCCAUCUCUCGGUGUGUUCUUGUGCUUUCCCCUAUGUGUCUUUCUCUGCGGUGCCACUUCUUCCAGGUCUUUCCAUGACUCCAUGGUCUCGCUUUCCUUAUCACCUCAGACUAUCCAACAUCCACUUCUUCAUGUCCCUCCCUCUGACUUUCUCCUUUAAUUAAAUAUAAUUAGAAGUCUGUCUAGAUUAUAUCCAUGCACAUAAAAAGAGGUUUAUGUUUUCUGUUCUUAUUUUUAAAGACAAGUAAGGAGAAUGUGUGGCACUGGAGUUUCUCUGGGGACCUCAGAACAUCUCCACAGCUUUGUCUCUCCUCUCUCCUUCCUGACAUCUGAGUUUCUGUGCUGAGCCACCCUUAACAGGGGUGUCCCUCCUUCCCUUCCUCUCCUCUCAGCUCCAAGCAUACUCAGGUCUCCAGACAAGCAAACCCCUCUCCCCGGCUCCCGUGCCUGGCGCCCCUUCCUCAACCAUCUCAGCAUUGCGCCAAAACUAACUGGCAAAAUUGUUUGCACCUGUGCCUCCAUUGUCUCCUUUCUGGGGCAAUCCCUAAGUCCUCUCCCUCUAUCUUCCAAGCCCUGAGAAUUACUCUGACCCUGAUCCCCCAGACCCACUAAGGGCCCAGAUUUUGUGAACUUUUUCCAGCUCUUAACCUCAGGGCGUUUCUGUAACAUCUCACACCUGCUGCCACAUAUUCUUCUGGAACUCGGCUCCUUCGCUGGCAAGGUGGGACCUCAACCUUGCUGCUUCUCUCUCUCCUCACCCCAGCGGACUCAUCUUCCUCCUCUUUUACCUGCUGAAGGUAUAGAGCCCAAGGAAGCCCUUGCCCACUUCUUACCCUUCCCUCCUUAGCUCCAGGGCCCCAGAUGGCCAAGGCCCGGGGCAGCAUCUCAGUAGCAGUGAGCCUGAGAUCUGCAGGCAAAUGUUUCCACAUGUGUGCACGUAGCCUUUUGUGAAGCCUCUGUGUGAACCUGGUUUUCACUGUUUAGCAAACAGAGUCACAUGGGCGUUAUGUGUCCUGUGUCAUUGUAUGAAACUUUUAGCUUGGCUGGAAUAAUUCAGCCAGGGAGAGCCCUGGGUAGGCACAGAGAAGGGUUGAAGAAUGCCAAGGGUGUGUGACUAAAGGACAGCACAGAGGUGGCCCCAGCCACGGUCCUGUCGUUCCCUGACCCAACACAGAGAUGUCUCCUGCCCCAGUCAAGAAAGCCAGGAGGCCCAUCUGCUCCACCCAGCGGGCCCAUGGCAGCUAACCCAACUGCUAACAUUGCUAAUGCCGUUUGUCCCUGGAGUUCUGUUCAAAACCAUGCUUAGAAGAAUUUGGAGGAAACUCUGACUCUAGCCAUGUUUUCAUAAAUGCCAUCUUCUAAGGAAAUCUGUAGACUUCACAGUUAGCUGGAGUCAACAGUUUCUCCUCCAAUUUUCAUAAUUAUCAUAGAAAGUUGUGGGAAAAUGUUGAAAAUCAGAAAAGUUGAAAUUACAAUGAAAAUCCAUAUACCACCUUCUUCAACAAUGGUACUACCUCCCAGACUUGCUUCAUCUCAGAGUCUUGGAUGUGUUUUUAUUGACAUUAUAUCAUUUUUUGGUUGCUACUAAACCAUUGAAAUGUAAGUUGUAGAUGAACUUGAGAUUUUAUUCCUAAAUAUUCCAGUAUAGGUCUAAGAAUAGGAAAUUAGAUGCUUCUUUUUAAUCUUCAUAUCAUUAUCAUAGCUAAGAUUAACAUUCUACAAUAUUAUUUAAUAACCAAGCCAUAAUCAAAAUUGCCUAUUCAUCCUAAAAAUAUCUUUAAUAGCUUUGUUUUCUCCAAGUCAGUAGAUAACUGAGGAUCACCCAUUUGAGUUUCGCUAUUAUGUCUCUAUUAUUCUCUAUUAUUUAGUCUAUUUUAAACUUUUUUAAAUAAGUAAAACUAAUAUUAAGUACAAUACAUUCAUUUAAACUGUAUGAUUUAAUGCAUUUUAAAUUGUAUCUACUCUGACAUUUACUCCUUUAUCAAAACAUAGAAAGUUGAGACCUUUUCUCUUCAAAACCUAUCACCAGCCCUGCCCCAUCCCGUACCUUGUCAACCACUGUAAAUAGUUUUGCCAGCUCAGAAACUUCAUAAAUGGAAGAAUACAGCCUAUGUUCUUUUGUGUCUCACUUCUUUCACUCAGUAUAUCUUUGAGAUUCACCCAGGAUGUUGUAAACGUGAGUAGCUUGUUCUCUGUAUUGCUGAGCAGUGAGCCAUUGUAUGAAUAUAUUAUGAUUUGCUUAUCCAUCACCCCUGACAGAUAUUUGGAUUAUUUCCAGUUUUAGGCUAUUAUGAUCAAAGUUGCUAUGAAAAUUCUUGUACAACUCUUUCUGUAGACAUGUGUUUUCAUUUCUCUUGGGUAAAAAUCUGUGAGUAGGAUUUCUGGAUCAUAUAAAUAUAUAUUUAACUUUAUAAGAAAUGGCCAAACUGGGCUGGGGCUGUAGCUGAGUGACAGAGAGCUUGCCUAGCACAUGUGAGGCACUGGGUUUAAUCCUCAGCACCACAUAAAAAUAAAAUAAAGGCAUUCUGUCCAUCUACAACUACAAAAAAAAAUUUUAAUUAAAAAAAAAGAAAUGGCCAAACUGUUUCCAAAGUGUUAAUAACAUUCUACACACAAGCAAUAUAUGAGGUUGUAGUUUCUUUUUUUAAUAUUUAUUUUUUAGUUGUAAUUGGACACAAUAUCUUUAUUUAUUUAUUUUUAUGUGGUGCUGGGGGUCGAACCUAGGGCCUCGCCCAUGGUAGGUGAGCGCUCUACCGCUGAGCCACAACCCCAGCCCAAGGUUGUAGUUUCUAUGUGUCCUCCUCACCUAUGCUUUCUAUGAUCAGUCCUUUACAUUUUAUUAUUUUUUGUGAAUGGGCAGUAGCAUCUUUAUGUGUUUUUGCUUUGCAUGUCCCUGAUAACUAGAGAUGUUUUAUGUAUCUUUUCAUGUGCUUACUGGCCAUUUGGAGAUAUGUAUUCUUUUUGUGGUGUCUGUUCAAAUAUUUUGGCUUUUUAAAAAGCAGGUUGUCACCAGGCAUGGUGGUGCACACUCGCAAUCUCAAUGGCUCAGGAGACUGGGGCAGGAGGAACGCGCAUUCAAAGCCAGCCUCAGCAACUUAGCAAGACCCUGUCUCAAAAAAAAAAAAAAAAAAAAGGUGGGGGUGGGGAUUGGGGAUGUGGCUCUGGGUUCAAUCCCUAGUACAAAAACAAAAACAAAAAACCAGCAGAUUGUCUUUUUAUUACUGAGAUAUUCAUAUGAGUACUUUGCCAGGUUUAUGUAUUACAAAUAAUUUCUCCCACUCAGUGACUUGAUUUUUCAUUUUCUUAAUAUUGUCUUUUGAAGAGCAAAAGGAUUUUGUUUCAAGGAAGCCAAACUUAUCGAUACUUUCACUUAUGUUUGGUACUUUCUAAGAAAUCUUCACCUAUCUGAAGGUUAUAAAGAUUUUCUUCUGUGUUUUAUUCUAGAAGUUUUGUAGUUUGAACUUUGGCAUUUGGGCAUAUAAACCAUUUAGGGGUAAUUUUUUUUUACAUGGAGAUAGAAGCUGAGGGUUGUUUUGUUUUGUUUCAAACACACACCAAGUUGUUCCAACAUCAUUUAUUGAAAAGACCAUUAAAAGACCUCAUGGGUGUGUGUUUGUGUGUGGUAUGCUAUGGAUUGAACUCAGGGUCUUGGGUAUACUAGGCAAGUGAUUUACCACUGAGCUACAUUCCCAGCUGUUUUUAAUUUUUAAAGAAAAUUUUGAGACAAGGUCCUUGCUAAGUUGCCCAGGCUGGCCUCCAACUUGUGAUCCUCCUGCUUCAGCCUCCCAAGCAGCUGGGUUACAGGCAUGCACCACCACAUCUGGCUGAGAAAUGUUUAUACUUCAAUCAUAUAUAAAUAUAAAUAUAAAUAUAUAUAAUUUAUCCUAAAACAUUAAUCUUUGAUAUUACAAAUAGUAUUUUUAUUGACUUUAUUUUCCAAUUGUUUGUAUUAAUAUACAGAGACACUAUUGAGUUUUGUAUAUGGACUAUAUCCUGUUCUUGAUCUCAAAAUCCAAAAUGCAUUUGGAAUCCAACAUUAAAGGCAUUUGUACUGUCUUCCUUUAAGGACUGUUGAGUUUUGCUUUGGAAGACAGUUAACUUAUUCAUGAAUUUGUUCUCUGCUAAAGCAGAUCUAGAGUUGCCUUUACUUGCUUCUGGUUUAGUCCUAAUUAGGAGAUGUGGCCUCCUGGCUGUCAACUCCCUUAGUGUUCAGUGCGGUCUUUCCAUCCUGAUGGUCAAAAUCCAGGGGUCUCCCAACUCUGUGGCUUCCAAUGGCAGUUUAGUUUCCAGGUGCUGUAGCCUCUCUUUCCCUGGAGGCUGUGCUUUGAUGGACCUCCUGGCGUCUCACUGUCCACUUGCAUGGCUUGUACACAGCCAGAGACUCCAGGGAAACCCCUAAGCCUGACACUCCCUCUAUGUAGUUUCUCUGCCUUAGCCUCCCCAGGUGCCAACAUCUGUGUCUCCGGCUCAGCGAGACCACUGCACUUAGUUUGGGGCCCUUUCCCUGUGUUAGGAUGUGCAAAUGGCUCUGGCAGAAAGUCUGGGUAAUUGUAAGUCUCACCUAGUUUCUUCUUUACCUCUUGGAGUACAGCCCUGUGCUGCCAAAUAUCUUGUGUCUGAAAACAGCUAUUGGAUUGAUUUUAUUCGGUUUUCUGGUUGCAUGUGGCAGGAUGACCACUCUGUCAUUGAUGGAAGCAGAAGAGUCAUCAAGCAUCUUUAAUCCAGAAUGAAGGUCAGCAAACUUUUUCUUAAAAGGUCAGGUAAUAAAUAUCUUUGUUUUGCGGCCAACACUGUCCAGUUACAGUUUCUCAAUUGUGUCAUCAUAGCACAAAUGCAGCCAGAGGUAACAGUAAGCUAAUGAGUAUGAUUAGGUUCAAAUAAGACUUUAUUUGCAGAAACUAGCAACUGACCUUUAGCGAUAGUUCAUCAGUCUUUGAUCUAGAACAAUCCCCCUUACCCUUUUCUCCCCUAUGCCAUCGACUUGGUCAGAACUCCAGCCCAGCUGUCUUAUUAAAUGCCCCAAAUUCUGUAUUCAUCUGAUUAUCUUCUCAAGAUAUCACAUAACACAUUCCUUUAUCACCCAUAUUUUCUAUAAACUGUGAUUGAGGUUGAGAGGCUUCAUGAGAAGCAGGUUAGAUACUUCUCAGCAAGAAUAACAUCUUAGGCGAUGUUGGGAAUUUUAACUUUUGAAAAAGCAUCAUCAAAGUCGAUGCAACUGAGCUUUGAUCGUGACUCAUUCGUUCACCUGUUCAUCAUCCAUCUAUUGAGGAUUUGUGAUGCAGUUAUCUCUGCCAGGUGUGGUGCUGUGUGCUCAACAAGCUACAGUGAUGUGCUCCAACUUGCUUUCAGUGGAAUGCUGAUGGGAUUGUUGGUGACAUAGAAGCACAGUGCUAAAAAAACUCAGUACCUGUCUUUCUGGGCCAGGACCAAAGGAUUCACUGUAUCAGCAAUUCUUGUAAAAAUGAAGAUUCACUAGCCCGUUGGGCCAAUGAAAUGAAAAUCUUGAUGAGGUUCAGAAAACUGCAUUUUAAUUGGUUCCAUUGUUAUAAUAGGUCAAAGAACACUGAAAGCAGGUGUGAUGAAGACAUUUUAUCAUGAGGAAAACUGAAAAGAGGUGACAUCUUUCAUGAGUCUACCAGAGAGGGUUUCAUGAGGCAACACUUCAGUUACAAGAAAAAAAGCUUUCUGGCCUAGGGUGAUUUUAAAGUUUGUCCAUAGCUAGACAUGGUGGCACACACCUGUAACUCCAGCAACUCAGGAGGCAGAGGCAGGAGGGUCAAAAAUUCAAGGCCAGCCUCAGCAACUUAGUGAGGUCUUAAGUAAUUUAGCGAGACCCUGACUCAAAAUUUAAAAUUAAGGACUGUGGAUGAUGUAGCUUGGUGGUAAAGAGCCUCUGGGUUCAAUUACUAGUACCAAAAAAAAAAUUGUGCCCAUAAAUUUUUUGUGACAACUCUUUUCAAAAGGUGACAGCUAAUUCCUCUUCCCUUCAGUGUGAACCAGACUGAGUCCUUCUAACAAACGGAAUAGCAGAGUGAUGGUGCAUGGCUUCAAGCAUUGACCCUUAGCAGUGCAGCACUUUCUGGCUCUCAAAUCUCUUGCUCUUCAGGAAGCCAGGCUCACAGGAUUGUGAAGGCACUCAGAAGCCCCAUGAGAGGCCUCCUGCUUACAGCCAGCAUGAACUUGCUGUCAUGUGAAUGCCUGUCUUAGUCCAUUCAGGUUGCUGUACAAAAAUACCAUAGAUUGAUGGGCUUCUAAAUCACAGAAAUUUAUUUCUCCCCAGUUUUGGAGUCUGGGAAGUCCAAGAUCAAGGUACCAGCAAGGUAUCUGCUCAGGGCAUACUUCCUGGUCCUCAUAUGAUGCCUGGCUUCCUUCUGUGUCCUCACAUGGUGGAAGACGGGAGGGAGCUCCCUAGGGUUUUCUGUUAGAAGGGCACCAAUCCCAUCCCUGAAGGCUCCACGAUCAUGAUCUGAUUCCUUCCCGAUGGUUUACCUCCAAAUAUCAUCUCAUGGAUUAGAAUUCAACCUAUGAAUUUAGGGAGGACACAAAUUUUCAGUGCAGAGCAGUGACUAUCUUGGAAGCAGGCUCUGUGGCCCCAGUCACAUCUUCAGAGGGCUGCAGCCUUGGCUGACGUCUUGACCACAACCUCAUGAGAGAACCACUCAGCCCAGUGGCUCCCAAGUGGCCGAAAAGUGAUAAUAUAUAUCUGUGGUUGCUUCGAGCCCCUCAUUGUGGGGUAGUUUUUUUAUGCAACAGUAGAUCAUAAACACAGGGGCUUUGCACAUAGUGUAAGGACUAGUGCUGGGCUCACGUGGGUGAGCGCCAUCUCCCCCUCCACCUGGGGCAGCCAGCUGUAGAGCAGUGUGGAGGGGGCUCUUCCUACUUCCCUGCUUGACACAUGUGUCUUCCCGACUGGCGGCUGACCUCACAGUGAAAUUCCCAGGCAGAAAUACACCAGGCCUCCAAAGAAUCAAGAGUGGUGGCAUCCGCCCCCAGCGUGAACUAUGUUUGGAGAUGACGCCAUUGCCACUCCUUCCACACAGGGUGUUCUUUUAAGACUUCUGUCUGAAUGGGAGACAGCUGGGAAGCCCCACUUCUGGCUGGGGAACAGCUUUUCCCAGUGGAGAGCCAAGAGCACAUCUGGGUAGAGACGGCAAUGUUUCUUUCAUUAACACCAUGUUCUAACAAAACCAGUCGACUGGCCAAGAUUUUGAAAAAUAAUAAAAUGAUGGUUUGGUGCCAGAAUAUUCCAGUUGACUCAAUAGAGCCAAAGGAGAAAGGUUAAAAUUUAAGGGAUCACUAAUACUUUUUGAUGAGAAUGAGUUUAGGGGUGAGGGAGUCAAGUACAGUAUUGUCUUAUUUCUUUGGUUUUAUCUUAUAUUUUAUAUUUCUUUCUCUAGUACAUCUGUGUUAAAAGUGACAGUGCUUGCUUCAGGAAAGAUUUAUGUUAAAUUAUUUUUUAAAAAUAGACUCAAUCUAGUAAAUUCAUGGCUAAACAGUUCACAGAAAAAUGAUUCAAAAGGCUUUUUACAUUUAAAAUGGUGCUCCACCUCACGCAUAGAGAAAUGUAAAUGUGACUGGGACCACAGAGCCCGUUAAAACUGUCCUGAGUUAUGAUCUGCUCAAAAGAUUGGCAGAAAUUCAAAAGUUGGAUCUGGAUGAUGCUCCAUGUUGAUGAAACUUCAAGUAAAGUGGGCACUUUUGUAUGUCACCAGUGGGAAUGCAAAAUGGCACUUAUGAAGUAGAAUGUGACAAUAUCAAAGAAAAUCACACGUGCAUUUACAUUUUAAAGUAACAGUGGCACUUCUCAGAAUUUGCACUGAAGAUAUACCUUCACAAAAUAAAAACAAUAUAAGAUGAAGUUACCAUUCUGCCAUUAUUUGUAAUAUUAGAAGAUCAGAAACUACCUCAACACCCAUCUUUAAAAGGCUGGUAGAAUAAACAACAGGAUAUUCACAUAUUAUGGUACUUUACAGGUAUGUAAGGGAAAUGAGAAUGUCUACAUAUGGAAUGAUUGCCAGGAGAUAUUAAUGUGUUUUUCAAAAGUAAGGUGCAGAGCAGCAUAAUUGUGUGUGUGCUUGUGUGUGUGUGUGUUACCAAAAGACACACUGGAAAGACCUGGAAUUAAUAAAAAAUAAUGAUGGCCUGCUGGGGGCAGGUGGAAGAGAGAGGAGAGAAAGAAUGGAACCAAGACUUCUCUGUAUUUUGUAUGUUCAAAAUAAAAUUAAAUCAAAUCCCAAAUUUUGCCUUAAUAUUGAAUAUAACUGGGAAUAAAAGUUAACAUCAAUUUAUGAUUUAAAAAAAUCCCUUAGUACUACUGCAAGUGCUAGAAACAAUGUCACUCUAACAGCAAUGAGUAAACUCUGACUCUCCAGAUCUUGUGUCUAAAUUCUUUCUUUUUUUCCCCUAAAUCUACUUUUCAAUGGACCCAGGUCUGGAGAAGUGGCUACUUUGAGUCUGGGGCAGUAGAAGCUGAGUGAGCGUGGGGUAGUUUGUGACAGGAAGCAAGAUAGUUCUCAAAGACUCUUGGGGACAUGACAAAAGGACAAACAGAGAGAAGGGUCAGAGUCUCAGAAGAAAUUUACACGCCAACUCCUUAAUUUGUGCUAUGAACUAAAUUGGGUCCUCUAAUCCCCAGAUUCAUAGGCUGAGGUCCUAACCCUCAGUGUGACUAUAUUUGGAGACAGGGUCUUUAAGGAGGCAAUGAAGCAUAAAAGAAGUGCUAAGGGUGGGCCCCUAACACAAUAGGUCAGGUGUCCUCACAAGAACAGAAGGAGACACAGGGAGGUUCUGCACAAAGCAAAAGCCAUGUGAGAACAUGGAGAGAAGCGGCAUCUGCAGCCACAAAGGGAGGCUUCACCAGAGAGCAGUCCUGCCGGCGCGUUUUCUUUUUUCUUAUUUUUUUUGAAUUGAUGGGUUAUAAUUAUACAUAAAUGUGGAACUCGUUACAUAUUUGUACACAAACACAAUGUAACAAUAUACUUUGGUCCAUAUCAUUCCCCAGUAUUUUCCCUUUUGAUUAGCACCUUGAUCUUAAACUUCUGGCCUCCAGAACUGUGAGAAGAUGAAUUUCUCUUGUGUAAACCUCCCCAUCUAUGGGACCUUGUUGUGGAAUCCCUGGCAGACCAAUGCACUCUGAAAAUGGGUGAUUGAAGGGAAGGAAGUAGUCCCUCAUCUUGCCUUUUUUUAGGAGCAACUGUAACUUGUUCCUGGUUGAUGAGUGAACCCUCGCUCUUCCUUAUAGGAGGAUGCCAUGAAAGAUAAGGAUCACCCAGAUAAGGAAGCCAUUAGGUAAAGCUUCACUGGGGAACAAACAGGGAUGUGCACUGUCCCAAAAUAUCACCCCAAGUUGUGGUGGUCACCACCUUAGAGUUCAAACAUAGCAUCCCUAAAUGUGGAGCAACCUCCUGGUAGGUACCCUGAAAUGUGAUGAAGUGUAACUGUUUAAGAAUAAUCUGCUCAAGCUUUUGAGUCUAACUUCUAGUUUCCAGGAACACAGGCAAUAGUGGACCAUGUUAACCAACACUGUGAAGGGAUUGGAAUGCAACUCAUAGCACCCCUGGCCAGUAGUGAAAUGAAAAGGAAAAUUGACUGAAGUAGUAGUCAGUAUUAAUUAAAAAAAGAAAAAAAAAAGAAACUUUUAAAAAGGAUAAUUUCAAUAUGACCUGAAUAUUAGGUAAUAAUAUUUUUUCAAUAUUAAAUUUUCUUAAUCUGAUAGUUGUAUUAUUGUACUAUCAGUUUUUUUUAAGAGACUGUUCUUAUUUGUAGGAGUUAAAUGCUGAAGCAUAUAUAUGAU